rnacentral:lncRNA from 1 species
AUCAAAGAAAUAAAGAAAAAGUAAAAAACUGAGCAUUUUAGGACGACAUUCUCUAGCUUUUGAAAGAGUUCAGGUGGUGAACUAUUCACAACUCUUUUAUUGAUCGGGAUCUGGGUAUUGGUCCUCUUGAUUUGAAAUAGUUAAUGAAGGGGUGAGCUACACUAGCCCAGUAAGAAUAUCACACUACUCACCGAUACAGAA